ACCAGGUUUCUCCCCAGUAAUCCAGACUCCACUUCACAGAGCCAAGAGUUUGAGUACAAGUAAGUGAUGUUAUUUGUGACGUUUUUUGUCUUGGAAACUAUUGCUUCUAUUUAAGAUUAGGAAUCCUUUUAUCCAUAAUCUGUUUUUCAUUAGGGCACUUGACUUUCUGGAUAAAAGGUGUCGAGUACUAAGCUUUACACCACCAGCAGCAAAUUUACCCUGGCAGCAUAUGGGUGAAAACGCUGGAGGAGAAAGCCAUCGCUUUAUUAUUGGCCCUUGGACGCCCCUGGCAUCUCGUGAACAGCACAAAGUUUUCAGCUAUGAAGUGACUCCAGAAUGAAAACCAAGCUCUGAGGGAGGAGAACCAAGCCCUGAGGGAAUGCAAUGCACAAGCAGCUUCGGGUUGACAGAGGCUCACUUCAAGAGCAGGUGAAGCAAGUAGGGACAAUGUUGAAGACGUUUGCUCUCACUGGGCAAUCAGG
ensembl:lncRNA